GAUGAACGCUGGCGGCGUGCCUAAUACAUGCAAGUCGAGCGAACGGACGAGAAGCUUGCUUCUCUGAUGUUAGCGGCGGACGGGUGAGUAACACGUGGAUAACCUACCUAUAAGACUGGGAUAACUUCGGGAAACCGGAGCUAAUACCGGAUAAUAUUUUGAACCGCAUGGUUCAAAAGUAAAAGACGGUCUUGCUGUCACUUAUAGAUGGAUCCGCGCUGCAUUAGCUAGUUGGUAAGGUAACGGCUUACCAAGGCAACGAUGCAUAGCCGACCUGAGAGGUUGAUCGGCCACACUGGAACUGAGACACGGUCCAGACUCCUACGGGAGGCAGCAGUAGGGAAUCUUCCGCAAUGGGCGAAAGCCUGACGGAGCAACGCCGCGUGAGUGAUGAAGGUCUUCGGAUCGUAAAACUCUGUUAUUAGGGAAGAACAUAUGUGUAAGUAACUGUGCACAUCUUGACGGUACCUAAUCAGAAAGCCACGGCUAACUACGUG
rnacentral:rRNA from 1 species